rnacentral:pre_miRNA from 1 species
CAUGUACUCCCUCCAUUUCAAAUUACUUGUCGCACAUAUGGAUGUGUCUAGAUGUAUUUUAGUUCUAGAUAUAUCCAUUUUAGCGAGGAGUAAUUUGGAACGAAGGGAGUAAUAU